rnacentral:rRNA from 1 species
CAGGUGGUCAGGUAGAGAAUACCAAGGCGCUUGAGAGAACUCGGGUGAAGGAACUAGGCAAAAUGGUGCCGUAACUUCGGGAGAAGGCACGCUGGUGUGUAGGUGAAGUCCCUGCGGAUGGAGCUGAGACCAGUCGAAGAUACCAGCUGGCUGCAACUGUUUAUUAAAAACACAGCACUGUGCAAACACGAAAGUGGACGUAUACGGUGUGACGCCUGCCCGGUGCCGGAAGGUUAAUUGAUGGGGUUAUCCGUAAGGAGAAGCUCUUGAUCGAAGCCCCGGUAAACGGCGGCCGUAACUAUAACGGUCCUAAGGUAGCGAAAUUCCUUGUCGGGUAAGUUCCGACCUGCACGAAUGGCGUAAUGAUGGCCAGGCUGUCUCCACCCGAGACUCAGUGAAAUUGAACUCGCUGUGAAGAUGCAGUGUACCCGCGGCAAGACGGAAAGACCCCGUGAACCUUUACUAUAGCUUGACACUGAACAUUGAGCCUUGAUGUGUAGGAUAGGUGGGAGGCUUUGAAGCGUGGACGCCAGUCUGCGUGGAGCCAACCUUGAAAUACCACCCUUUAAUGUUUGAUGUUCUAACGUUGGCCCCUGACCGGGGUUGCGGACAGUGUCUGGUGGGUAGUUUGACUGGGGCGGUCUCCUCCCAAAGCGUAACGGAGGAGCACGAAGGUUAGCUAAUCCUGGUCGGACAUCAGGAGGUUAGUGCAAUGGCAUAAGCUAGCUUGACUGCGAGCGUGACGGCGCGAGCAGGUGCGAAAGCAGGUCAUAGUGAUCCGGUGGUUCUGAAUGGAAGGGCCAUCGCUCAACGGAUAAAAGGUACUCCGGGGAUAACAGGCUGAUACCGCCCAAGAGUUCAUAUCGACGGCGGUGUUUGGCACCUCGAUGUCGGCUCAUCACAUCCUGGGGCUGAAGUAGGUCCCAAGGGUAUGGCUGUUCGCCAUUUAAAGUGGUACGCGAGCUGGGUUUAGAACGUCGUGAGACAGUUCGGUCCCUAUCUGCCGUGGGCGCUGGAGAAUUGAGGGGGGCUGCUCCUAGUACGAGAGGACCGGAGUGGACGCAUCACUGGUGUUCGGGUUGUCAUGCCAAUGGCACUGCCCGGUAGCUAAAUGCGGAAGAGAUAAGUGCUGAAAGCAUCUAAGCACGAAACUUGCCCCGAGAUGAGUUCUCCCUGAGACUUUAAGUCUCCUGAAGGAACGUUGAAGACGACGACGUUGAUAGGCCGGGUGUGUAAGCGCAGCGAUGCGUUGAGCUAACCGGUACUAAUGAACCGUGAGGCUUAA